rnacentral:rRNA from 1 species
AACGAACGCUGGCGGCGUGCCUAACACAUGCAAGUCGAACGGGAUUCGGAGCUUGCUCCGAUGAGAGUGGCGCACGGGUGAGUAACGCGUAGAUAAUCUGCCUGAUGAUCUGGGAUAACAAUUCGAAAGGACUGCUAAUACCGGAUAAGCCCACGGAGACAUUGGUCUUUGCGGGAAAAGGGGGGGACCUUGGGGCCUUCCGUCAUCAGAUGAGUCUGCGUACCAUUAGGUAGUUGGUAGGGUAAAGGCCUACCAAGGCGACGAUGGUUAGCUGGUCUGAGAGGAUGAUCAGCCACACUGGAACUGAGACACGGUCCAGACUCCUACGGGAGGCAGCAGUGGGGAAUUUUGCGCAAUGGGGGAAACCCUUACGCAGCAACGCCGCGUGAGUGAUGAAGGCUCUUGGGUCGUAAAGCUCUGACAGAGGGAAAGAAGUGUAUGGUGGUUAAUACCCAUUGUACUUGACGGUACCCUCAAAGGAAGCACCGGCUAACUCCGUGCCAGCAGCCGCCGUAACAC